rnacentral:pre_miRNA from 1 species
UCCAGCCGGCCGGAUCCACCAGAGGGGAGGACGGGGUCGCUAGAUCCGGAAGCCCCGACCUCCUGUUGGCCGGUGCGGCGGUUGUA